rnacentral:rRNA from 1 species
CUGCUGCCUCCCGUAGGAGUUUGGUCCGUGUCUCAGUACCAAUGUGGGGGGGUUAACCUCUCAGUCCCCCUAUGUAUCGUCGCCUUGGUGAGCCGUUACCUCACCAACUAGCUAAUACAACGCAUGCCCAUCUUUUACCACCGGAGUUUUCAACCCAAAACGAUGCCGUCUCAGAUAUUAUGGGGAAUUAGUACCAAUUUCUCAGUGUUAUGCCCCUGUAAAAGGUAGGUUGCAUACGCGUUACGCACCCGUGCGCCGGUCGCCAUCAUAAG